AGAGUUUGAUCCUGGCUCAGGACGAACGCUGGCGGCGUGCCUAACACAUGCAAGUCGAACGGAACUGUUUUGAAAGAUUUCUUCGGAAUGAAUUUGAUUUAGUUUAGUGGCGGACGGGUGAGUAACGCGUGAGUAACCUGCCUUCAAGAGGGGGAUAACAUUCUGAAAAGAAUGCUAAUACCGCAUGACAUAUCGGAACCACAUGAUUUUGAUAUCAAAGAUUUUAUCGCUUGAAGAUGGACUCGCGUCCGAUUAGUUAGUUGGUGAGGUAACGGCUCACCAAGACCGCGAUCGGUAGCCGGACUGAGAGGUUGAACGGCCACAUUGGGACUGAGACACGGCCCAGACUCCUACGGGAGGCAGCAGUGGGGGAUAUUGCGCAAUGGGGGCAACCCUGACGCAGCAACGCCGCGUGAAGGAUGAAGGUUUUCGGAUUGUAAACUUCUUUUAUUAAGGACGAAACUUGACGGUACUUAAUGAAUAAGCUCCGGCUAACUACGUGCCAGCAGCCGCGGUAAUACGUAGGGAGCAAGCGUUGUCCGGAUUUACUGGGUGUAAAGGGUGCGUAGGCGGCUUUGCAAGUCAGAUGUGAAAUCUAUGGGCUCAACCCAUAAACUGCAUUUGAAACUGUAGAGCUUGAGUGAAGUAGAGGCAGGCGGAAUUCCCCGUGUAGCGGUGAAAUGCGUAGAGAUGGGGAGGAACACCAGUGGCGAAGGCGGCCUGCUGGGCUUUAACUGACGCUGAGGCACGAAAGCGUGGGUAGCAAACAGGAUUAGAUACCCUGGUAGUCCACGCUGUAAACGAUGAUUACUAGGUGUGGGGGGAUUGACCCCUUCCGUGCCGCAGUUAACACAAUAAGUAAUCCACCUGGGGAGUACGACCGCAAGGUUGAAACUCAAAGGAAUUGACGGGGGCCCGCACAAGCAGUGGAGUAUGUGGUUUAAUUCGAAGCAACGCGAAGAACCUUACCAGGUCUUGACA
rnacentral:rRNA from 1 species